UUGCAUUCCAAACAUUGAAGUGGUAUUCCAGAACUUUCCCAAGAGCCCCACCCCCUUUCUAGCUCAGAUCCCUGCACCAUUCUAACAUGAAUAUCCUGUGCUCACCAUCUGACCCAUCCAUCAAAACUUUAACAGAGCCAUCUUCUGCCUCUUGGCUAUGGCAUCCUCAUUGCCACGUUUCUCCAGCCUUUCUUCUCUACUGGUGCAGCCUUACUCUUUGUUUAGUGAUCAGAGUGUUUCUCGAUACAGAGCUUCUCAGCUCUCUAAUUCGUAACGUGGGAGCCUGUCCUCCAAGCCAGCAGUUAUUUUGUAAAGAGUUUGAACUGGGAAAAAAGAAACCUUCACUAGUUUAUUGUAUUUCCUGAGAAUUUCAUCCCUGCAGAUGACACAUUCCCCCCACACCAGCAGGAGAAAGAAUCAAUGUUGGAAACUCCACUUCUGCAAAACUGUAACAGUUUUGAAUAGCACUGACUUAAAGGGAAAAUAAAUCUUGAUCUUUA